UAAAGAUUGGGCCAGUCAUUGGGCGAAGACUACAAAAUUAACCACUGUACAACCAAAGGAAAAGCUGUUUGAGAGAGAGAGAGAGAGAGAGAGAGGCAAAGUUGAAGAUUAACCUCUACAGCUGAGCCAGAGAGGAGAAGCUCAAGUAAGAAAAAGGACUCUUCUCAAUUUUAUUUUCAAUUUUCCCCAACUUUCUUUGGGUGGUGUUUCCUAAUUUAUAGUCAGUUACCGUUGAUGGAUCCAACAGCAGAUGAGCAAUUGGAUUAUGGUGAUGAGGAAUAUGGAGGAAGCCACAAGAUGCAGUACCAUGGAGGUGGGACAAUUCCCGCACUAGCAGAGGAUGAAAUGAUGGGUGAAGAUGAUGAAUAUGAUGAUCUUUACAAUGAUGUUAAUGUUGGGGAAGGUUUCCUACAGCUCCAGCGGUCAGAGGCCCCAGUUCCACCUGUUGAUGCGGGAAAUGUGAGUUUUCAAGAUCAGAAAGCUAGUUUUCCUGAUGCAAAGGCUGAUGGUAUAGGAUCAGAUGAGGCGAAAAUCCCUUGUGUUGCAACAGAAGGGAAAUAUGCUGGCACUGAAGUCCGAUUCCCCGAGCAAAAGAGUGGACCUGUAGUUGAAAGGGCAACUGAACGACCGGCCGGUGCUGCACAAAAAGGAAAGCCUUUAGCAAUGACGUUGACUCGCGAUUCUCAAAUGGGAAACUCUGGGUACCAAGGAUCCAUACCAACGACGCAGAAAAUUGGAGCUGAUCCUAUCAAUAUGCCAGAGAAAAAUGCCAAUGAAGCUACACCGUUGGUGAAUUCUGGUGUGGGUGGAUCAAGGAUUGUUCCGCAAAUGCCAGCUAAUCAACUGGGUUCGAGCGGGAAUGUUAACAUGAAUAGCCCAAUUAUUAGCGAGACUCCUAUAAGGCCAUCUCUGGAGAAUGGCAACACCAUGCUUUUUGUGGGAGAGCUGCACUGGUGGACUACUGAUGCUGAGAUUGAGAGUGUGUUGACACAAUAUGGAAACGUAAAGGAGAUCAAAUUCUUUGAUGAGAGAGCUAGUGGCAAGUCUAAAGGCUAUUGUCAAGUUGAGUUCUUUGACCCAGCUGCUGCAGCUUCUUGCAAAGAAGGAAUGAAUGGUCAUAUUUUCAAUGGGCGAGCUUGUGUUGUUGCGUUUGCUACUCCACAAACUAUAAAACAGAUGGGUUCUUCAUAUAUGAACAAAACUCAAAACCAGGUGCAGACUCAACCACAGGGGCGGAGACCCAUGAAUGAGGGAGUUGGUAGAGGUGGGGCAAAUUACGCCCCUGGAGAUGCAGGGAGGAAUUUUGGAAGAGGUAGCUGGGGGCGUGGAGGGCCGGGAAUGCCUAACAGAGGACCUGGGGGUGGACCAGUGAGGGGAAGAGGAGGCAUGGGAGCAAAGAAUAUGAUGGGGAAUCCUGGAGCUGGCACUGGUCCUGGUGGAGCUUUUGGCCAAGGACUUGCAGGUCCAGCAUUUGGUGGUCCUCCUGCAGGUCUAAUGCAUCCUCAGGGCAUGAUGGGUCCUGGUUUUGAUCCUGGUUUUAUGGGUCGAGGAGCUGGUUAUGGAGGAUUUUCUGGUCCUGCGUUUCCAGGGAUGAUUCCUCAAUUUCCAGCUGUUAAUCCUAUGGGCCUUCCUGGGGUGGCUCCUCACGUCAACCCUGCUUUCUUUGGUCGAGGAAUGUCUGCAAACGGAAUGGGAAUGAUGGGUAAUGCUGGGAUGGAUGGGCCUCAUCCAGGAAUGUGGACUGACACAAGUGGAGGUGGAUGGGGAGGAGAAGAACAUGGCAGGAGAACUAGAGAGUCCAGUUAUGGUGGUGAAGAUAAUGCAUCAGAAUAUGGCUAUGGAGAGGUUAGCCAUGAUAAAGGAGCCAGGUCAAGUGCUGUGUCCAGGGAAAAGGAACGUGGAUCUGAGCGUGACUGGUCAGGCAACUCUGAGAAGAGACAUCGUGAUGAAAGAGAGCAUGACAGAGAGAGGUAUGAUAGGGAGCACAGAUACAAGGAAGAAAGGGAUGGUUACCGGGACUAUCGUCACAAGGAACGUGAAGCAGAAUAUGAGGAUGACUAUGACCGUGGACAGUCUUCUUCAAGAUCCCGUAGCAGAUCCCGAGCAGCACAGGAAGAGGAUCAUAGGUCUAGAUCAAGAGACACAAAUUAUGGGAAACGUAGACGUGCGCCUUCUGAAUGAUCUGAUCUAUCCUGUCAUGCAUCUGUUCCAAGUAUUUUAUAGGACUAUGAGCACAAUCAAUAACCUUUCGAGAUGUCCUUCCUCCAGGUGCUUGUAUGCAGUGGCGUUCUUCCUGUUUGUGUUGGUGCUGAUACUCAGUGGUUUCUGGAUUUAAAGAAGGAGCCGCGAGGCAACUCUCUGUUUUUCGUGACUAAAUCAGCAUAUUUUGGUUAUCUGGAGGAAGAUGAGUUAAAUUGGACAAAUGUUUGAAAAUGCUAGUCUCUGCCUAGUGCCUAGUGUGCGCGGGAAACAUUAUUCAUAUUGGCUGUAAUUUUUGUUUUUUUAGCAUAAAGCAUUGUGAGCAUCCAAUUUAGAAAGGGAUGUAUCAGCAGGCCCACCAGUCUGUAAAAGCUCUAUUUUUUGGAGCUCUGUAUUGUAAAUCAUGUAUUGUAUAGGUUCCAUAAUGUGUAAUGUUUCAUGCACGUAUCACUUUGAGCUUUGUAAAGAUUUUAUACCAAGCCCGCUGAGCACUUGUUAAGUAUUUUUGGUUUGUACAAGUAAUGCCAGCCUAGGUUAGGUGUUGUCAGCUAGCAAUUUUUGUAUAGAGUAAUUUGUUGUUGUAACCGAAAUUUAGGUGAUUGCUGUAACAUCUGGAGGAGUUGUAUAGACCGCAAUUUUUGUUCAUCGCAAUUAUUCUGAGAUGAGUUUAAAAUACUAGAAGAUGCAUUCAACA